rnacentral:misc_RNA from 1 species
GAUGAAGAACGUAGCGAAAUGCGAUAAGUAAUGUGAAUUGCAGAAUUCAGUGAAUCAUCGAAUCUUUGAACGCACAUUGCGCCCGCCAGUAUUCUGGCGGGCAUGCCUGUUCGAGCGUCAUUUCAACCCUCAGGCCCCCAGUGCCUGGUGUUGGGGAUCGGCCCAGCCUUCCUGUAAGGCCGCCGGCCCCGAGAUCUAGUGGCGGUCUCGCUGUAGUCCUCCUCUGCGUAGUAGCACAACCUCGCAGUUGGAACGCGGCGGUGGCCAUGCCGUUAAACACCCCACUUCUGAAAGUUGACCUCGGAUCAGGUAGGAAUACCCGCUGAACUUAAGCAUAUCAAUAAGCGGAGGA